GACAGAAGUGCCGAGCGUUAGGCGGAAUCACUGGGCUUAAAGCGUGUGUAGGCGGGUCGUUAAGUGUCUUGUGAAAUCCCCCGGCUCAACCGGGGAAUGGCUGGGCAUACUGGCGAUCUUGAGCAGUCUAGGGGCAGAUGGAACAAGUGGUGGAGCGGUGAAAUGCGUAGAUAUCACUUGGAACGCCAAAGGUGAAAACAGUCUGCUGGGGACUUGCUGACGCUGAGACACGAAAGCCAGGGGAGCGAACGGG
rnacentral:rRNA from 1 species